rfam:Nicotiana sylvestris Nsyl_contig113371, whole genome shotgun sequence.
AUAGUAGAAUGAUGUUGGAAUGGCUCAAUCAAAUCAAAUUCCCCAAAUAUUUGUGUCAUUUAAUUUGAUUGAGCCGUGCCAAUAUCAUCUUAGCUAUGC